GACAGAGGGUGCAAACGUUGUUCGGAAUUACUGGGCGUAAAGCGCGUGUAGGCAGCUCGGAAAGUCGGAUGUGAAAGCCCUGGGCUCAACCUAGGAAGUGCAUUCGAAACUUCCGAGCUGGAGUGCUGGAGAGGAAGGCGGAAUUCUCGGUGUAGAGGUGAAAUUCGUAGAUAUCGAGAGGAACACCGGUGGCGAAGGCGGCCUUCUGGACAGUUACUGACGCUGAGGCGCGAAAGCUAGGGUAGCAAACGGG
rnacentral:rRNA from 1 species